UACAGAGGUCCCGAGCGUUGUUCGGAUUCACUGGGCGUAAAGGGUGCGUAGGUGGCAUGUUAAGUUUGAUGUGAAAGCUCAGGGCUCAACCCUGAAAUGGCAUUGAAUACUAGCGUGCUGGAGGUUUGGAGGGGGGACUGGAAUUCUCGGUGUAGCAGUGAAAUGCGUAGAGAUCCGGAGGAACCCCAGAGGCGAAGGCGGUGCCCUGGCUCGCAUCUGACGCUCGAGAACACGGAAAGCAUGGG
rnacentral:rRNA from 1 species